CUUACCUGCUGCUCUACAUGAAAGCAGAAUUACUUUUAUAUUAUCUUGAUAAAACUAGUCAUCAACCUCUGUACAGCAGAAAAUCAACAUAGUCUGUAGACUUGGAAGUCAGGUUUUUUUCCACAUGCCUUUUCAUUUAUUUUCUGUCCCUUAUGAUUGCCUCUGGGGGAUAUUCCUGAUAUUGUCAUAUUGUUCCUCUGUGCUUGGUUCUCUGUAGCCUGCUGUUGGAGCUUGACUUAUAUUUGACUUUGGAACUCUUCAGACUUCUGUCUCCAAGAAGAUGAACUGUAACCUUUACUGCAGAGAGCUCCAUCAUGCCCAAGGAACAAAGAUGUUGACCACAGUCUUUCUUACACAAUUAAGUAAUCUUUUAGACAUUCUGACAAUAAACUGUGGACGGUCUGAAGACAAAACAAGAGAACAAAGGACCAUCUCGCAACGCAGGAUCUGCAGUGAGAGCCACAGAUUGCCAGUAGGAGGAAAAUGCAACGCUCCAAACAGAACAAGGCAACUGUGUUUCAUGAGACGUUCGUUUAAACAUGACCAUCUUCAAGCAGAGUCCAAAAAUAUGGUACCCCUUAUUUGUGUAGAUGGAAACACAUGUGAAUAAAUGCCACGUAUCAGUGUAAGGAGACUAUUCAGAAAGAAGUCAUCACCUUGACAAGCCAGAAAGAUGGUUUGAAUUGAGAGGACAGACCUAGAUGAAUGUGAGCUUCAUCUUUUAGAACAGGGAGAAGUAUAUGCAAGAUCUCAGGAGCAAAGAGCUGGGUC